UGAGCCAUUUACUGACAUGGACUGCUUGCCGUUGCAAUACCCACCUUGAAUAACGGCUGUCGAAGCACCUCUUGCAAGCAGCUCUGGCUCCACAGGGACAGCAUAGAGACUCACCUUAGACACACGAGCAUGGCGUUUGAGCACCGAGGGUUCAGUAUAACGUCCCAGAAUCGGUCCAGGCAGUUGGCUCCAGUGUUAGGAGCCGGGAGUGAGGUCUGGCACUCGUGUAAGUGAAUAGAGAAAGCAGCCAGUCCAACCACGUGAGGGUCUCUGAGGCGAGGAGACUGGGACCACCCAAAAAAUAGAGCACAUGAGAAAAAGAACAGUACAGAGAUGAACCCAAUCAAUCAGCAAUAAAGAACUACCUGACAACACAGAAGCUGCAAAAUCCUUCUCAGCACCACGGAGAGGGCCCUGCGAUGACCACACAGCAUCCUUACAUACAGAGACGGCCACGGACCCUGCCUGAGUGAUAACGAAGCAGAUUGGUAAACGUGAGCGAAGGGCAGCACCAAGCAUCUCAA